rnacentral:rRNA from 1 species
AACGAACGCUGGCGGCAGGCUUAACACAUGCAAGUCGAACGGAUCCUUCGGGAUUAGUGGCAGACGGGUGAGUAACGCGUGGGAAUCUACCUAUCUCUACGGAACAACAGUUGGAAACGACUGCUAAUACCGUAUACGCCCCCCUUUGUAAUAAUUGGGUGGGGAAAGAUUUAUCGGAGAUAGAUGAGCCCGCGUUAGAUUAGCUAGUUGGUGAGGUAAUGGCUCACCAAGGCGACGAUCUAUAGCUGGUCUGAGAGGAUGAUCAGCCACACUGGGACUGAGACACGGCCCAGACUCCUACGGGAGGCAGCAGUGGGGAAUAUUGGACAAUGGGGGCAACCCUGAUCCAGCCAUGCCGCGUGAGUGAUGAAGGCCCUAGGGUUGUAAAGCUCUUUCAACGGUGAAGAUAAUGACGGUAACCGUAGAAGAAGCCCCGGCUAACUUCG